UACGGAGGGGGCUAGCGUUGUUCGGAAUUACUGGGCGUAAAGCGCGUGUAGGCGGGUCCUUAAGUCGGGGGUGAAAGCCCGGGGCUCAACCUCGGAACUGCCUUCGAUACUGAGGACCUGGAGUCUGGGAGAGGUGAGCGGAAUUCCGAGUGUAGAGGUGAAAUUCGUAGAGAUUCGGAGGAACACCAGAGGCGAAGGCGGCUCACUGGACCAGUACUGACGAUGAGACGCGAAAGAGUGGGGAGCAAACAGG
rnacentral:rRNA from 1 species